AAUACUCUCUAUUAUUUUAAAGUUACAUUUUUACUCUGUACAGUUUUUCUCAGUCUCCUUCAAUCAUUAGCUUAACUGUUUCCUCUUCUCUCUAACACCUCCUCUCCUCUUUUUCCUCCAAAAAAAACCUACAUCAUCGAUCUUUAAACAUGUUUAAUUAUGAUACUAUACCCACCAAUGGCGCAAUUCUCAACGCUUCAGCUUCAGAGGAAAGAAGACACAAACGACAAGUUCAAUAGAUUUGCCUCAAAGGGAUAUUUGCCAAUAAAAUCAAAUGGAAUGUGCAAGUUUGAUAGGUCUGUCAUCUCAGCAUUAGGAAGAUGAACUAAAUCAUGAACUUAAAGUUUAGAAGAUGACCGGUUCUUAAAGGAUUGAUCAUUAUCCUAUAUAUCCAAGCUUGUUGUAUUUUUUUU